rnacentral:rRNA from 1 species
GGGGAAUAUUGGACAAUGGGCGCAAGCCUGAUCCAGCCAUACCGCGUGGGUGAAGAAGGCCUUCGGGUUGUAAAGCCCUUUUGUUGGGAAAGAAAUCCAGCUGGCUAAUACCCGGUUGGGAUGACGGUACCCAAAGAAUAAGCACCGGCUAACUUCGUGCCAGCAGCCGCGGUAAUACGAAGGGUGCAAGCGUUACUCGGAAUUACUGGGCGUAAAGCGUGCGUAGGUGGUCGUUUAAGUCCGUUGUGAAAGCCCUGGGCUCAACCUGGGAACUGCAGUGGAUACUGGACGACUAGAGUGUGGUAGAGGGUAGCGGAAUUCCUGGUGUAGCAGUGAAAUGCGUAGAGAUCAGGAGGAACAUCCAUGGCGAAGGCAGCUACCUGGACCAACACUGACACUGAGGCACGAAAGCGUGGGGAGCAAAC